CAGAAGCAGCAUUCACAUUUCAGAUGAGUUACCGUCUCCGGUGUGCCUGCGACAAGGGAGAGCCCCACCUAGAGACGACUUCCUUCCGGAAUCCAGAUCUCUGAAAUGUACCGCCCUCACACACAUUAUGGCAGAAGGACUGAGGCAGAGAGGUUGAGUUUGUUGCCCAGUGACACACAGCAGAGUGGGGCUAAUGGGCACAGAUGAGCACAGCAGCUGGGCGUACAACGUGGAGGAAGACAGGAAGUCGGAGGUGCCUUUCUUUGUGGAGGUGGCACACACCUUUGGGGAGAUGAUGUAUGCUCCGGAAUUUUAAAAAUCCCCAGUGUUUGCUUGGUGAUAACUACCAGAAGAAGAAAAG